UACGAAGGGGGCUAGCGUUGCUCGGAAUCACUGGGCGUAAAGCGCACGUAGGCGGAUCUUUAAGUCAGGGGUGAAAUCCCGAGGCUCAACCUUGGAACUGCCUUUGAUACUGGGGAUCUCGAGUCCGGAAGAGGUUGGUGGAACUGCGAGUGUAGAGGUGAAAUUCGUAGAUAUUCGCAAGAACACCAGUGGCGAAGGCGGCCAACUGGUCCGGUACUGACGCUGAGGUGCGAAAGCGUGGGGAGCAAACAGG
rnacentral:rRNA from 1 species